UACGUAGGGGGCUAGCGUUGUCCGGAAUCAUUGGGCGUAAAGCGCGUGUAGGCGGUCCGGUAAGUCCGCUGUGAAAGUCGGGGGCUCAACCCUCGAAUGCCGGUGGAUACUGUCGGGCUAGAGUGCGGAAGAGGCGAGUGGAAUUCCUGGUGUAGCGGUGAAAUGCGCAGAUAUCAGGAGGAACACCAAUUGCGAAGGCAGCUCGCUGGGACGUAACUGACGCUGAGGAGCGAAAGCGUGGGUAGCAAACAGG
rnacentral:rRNA from 1 species